AGGUACAAAUUUAUCCACGUCAAACAACUCCAUAAGAAGUAAGAACUUAGUGGCAGAUAAAAUUUUACCUUCGGUUGGGGCGACCACGGAGAAAAAGAAAGCCUCCGAGUGGACUGGGGCAAACCCCUAAAGCCAAUAGAAACGUCUAUAGGCCGCAGAAUAUCUGACCAAGAAUGAUCCGACCCCAGAGGUCGAUCAACGAACCAAGUUACCCUAGGGAUAACAGCGCAAUCCCCUCCCAGAGUCCAUAUCGACGAGGGGGUUUACGACCUCGAUGUUGGAUCAGGACAUCCUAAUGGUGCAGCCGCUAUUAAG
rnacentral:rRNA from 1 species